GAUGAACGCUAGCGGCAGGCUUAAUACAUGCAAGUCGAGGGGCAGCACGGAUAGCAAUAUUUGGUGGCGACCGGCGCACGGGUGCGUAACACGUAUACAACCUACCUAUAACAGGGGGAUAGCCUUUCGAAAGAGAGAUUAAUACCCCGUAAUAAAUUGAGUGGCAUCACUUGAUUUUGAAAGCUACGGCGGUUAUAGAUGGGUAUGCGUCCUAUUAGCUAGUUGGUGAGGUAACGGCUCACCAAGGCGACGAUAGGUAGGGGAUCUGAGAGGCCUAACCCCCACACUGGUACUGAGACACGGACCAGACUCCUACGGGAGGCAGCAGUAAGGAAUAUUGGUCAAUGGAGGCAACUCUGAACCAGCCAUGCCGCGUGCAGGAUGACGGCCCUAUGGGUUGUAAACUGCUUUUGUACCAGAGAAAACCUACUCACGUGUGAGUAGCUGAUAGUAUGGUAAGAAUAAGCAUCGGCUAACUUCGUGCCAGCAGCCGCAGUAA
rnacentral:rRNA from 1 species